CAAUAGCGUAUAUUAAAGUUGUUGCAGUUAAAAGCUCGUAGUCGGAUUUCGGGUCGGGCCGAGCGGUCUGCCGAUGGGUAUGCACUGUUUGGCGCGGCCUUCUUUCCGGAGACCGCGGCUACUCUUAACUGAGCGGGCGUGGGAGACGGAUCGUUUACUUUGAAAAAUACAGAGUGUUUCUAGCAGGCAGCUCGCUCUUGCAUAGGUUAGCAUGGGAUAAUUUAAUAGGACUCUGGUGCUAUUUUGUUUGGUUUUCGGUAACAACCCGGAGGUAAAUGAUUAAAAAGGGGUACGAGUCAGGGGCGACUCGUAUUCCGUCGAGAGAGGUGAAAUU
rnacentral:rRNA from 1 species